rnacentral:rRNA from 1 species
AACGAACGCUGGCGGCAGGCCUAACACAUGCAAGUCGAGCGCCCCAGCAAUGGGGAGCGGCAGACGGGUGAGUAACGCGUGGGUAUCUACCUAGUGGUGCGGAAUAGCCCAGGGAAACUUGGAGUAAUACCGCAUAAGCCCGAAAGGGGAAAGAUUUAUCGCCAUUAGAUGAGCCCGCGUUGGAUUAGCUAGUUGGUGGGGUAACGGCCCACCAAGGCGACGAUCCAUAGCUGGUCUGAGAGGAUGAUCAGCCACACUGGGACUGAGACACGGCCCAGACUCCUACGGGAGGCAGCAGUGGGAAUAUUGGACAAUGGCGCAAGCCUGAUCCAGCCAUGCCGCGUGAGUGACGAAAGGUCUUCGGAUUGUAAAGCUCUUUUGGUCGGGGGACGGAUAAUGACGGUACCGCA